GCACCCAUAGUUCAACGGAUAGAACAGCGGUUUCCGGAACCGCCGAUGCAGGUUCGAUUCCUGCUGGGUGCACCA
rnacentral:tRNA from 1 species